rnacentral:lncRNA from 1 species
UCUCUUCUUUCAUCCUCUCCACCUCCACUUUCAGUAUUUUCACCUGAUCAUCGCACAUUUUCUAAUUUAACCAUAACUCUUUUACUCGCCAGUGAUUUUAAAUAAUUAAAACCGAGACUAAGUAAUUAAAUUAAUUACCUCGUCCUUGCGAUUAUUUAUGGUUGGCUUGCAAUACUGGUGGGUAUGAGAAGAACUGGUCGUAAGAAGCAGAUUAAGUCCAGUCUGUACGGAGACCACCAAACUUAGUCAACCACUAUAAAUUCUGAUCGGAAAAUGUUACAUAACCCCGAAUAUACUCGAAUUAUUGAGAUGCACUCGGAUAUACUCGAAUUAUUGGGACUUAGCAAAUAGUCGAUAAAUAACAAUUUUACUGGUUUUGAUAGAGCUAUACUGCAAACUUCAAUUCUCUUUCCUCAACUCAAGAGUAAAGAACUUUCAAAAGUAAGUAGUCUUACGUUAAUCGGGGACGGUCUGUUUUCGCUGCCACCGUCGUUAUUGAUGUGUCGACAAUCAUCGUGGUUGUCGUUGAAGUUUGAGAAGAAAUCGACUUCUUUGACGGGCUUGCUGCCGAGGUCGGAGUUUUGUCUCCACUGACGGCGAGGAGAUCG